AUUAAACAACCUUAAUUCCAUCGACUGUUAGGGCAACAAUUAAAAUUCAAUGAAUCCUACGACAAACAAAGUACGGAAUCCCCUGAAUCUACCUUAGGUUUUUUGCUCUACGACACAGAUCUGGCUUCAAAUAUGUGCAAAUUUGGUGGAUAUGGAGCUGAUUAGAGAGCCCGGUUUAUCGAAAAAUUUGGGUGAUUAUAUUCAGUUCUUGAAGGCUAUGUUUCAAGUCAGUUCGCACCAGAAUAUCUGCUCUACGGUCAGCUAGGCGUUUUGCGUGUAAGUUCUCUUGCAAUUUAAACUUGUUAGAACUGUAUUCAUGGUACCAAAACUUGCGUAAGCAAACA